rnacentral:rRNA from 1 species
CCUACGGGAGGCUGCAGUGGGGAAUAUUGCACAAUGGGCGCAAGCCUGAUGCAGCCAUGCCGCGUGUGUGAAGAAGGCCUUCGGGUUGUAAAGCACUUUCAGCGGGGAGGAAGGCGUUAAGGUUAAUAACCUUGGCGAUUGACGUUACCCGCAGAAGAAGCACCGGCUAACUCCGUGCCAGCAGCCGCGGUAAUACGGAGGGUGCAAGCGUUAAUCGGAAUUACUGGGCGUAAAGCGCACGCAGGCGGUCUGUCAAGUCGGAUGUGAAAUCCCCGGGCUCAACCUGGGAACUGCAUUCGAAACUGGCAGGCUAGAGUCUUGUAGAGGGGGGUAGAAUUCCAGGUGUAGCGGUGAAAUGCGUAGAGAUCUGGAGGAAUACCGGUGGCGAAGGCGGCCCCCUGGACAAAGACUGACGCUCGGGUGCGAAAGCGUGGGGAGCAAACAGGAUUAGAUACCCUUGUAGUC